rnacentral:rRNA from 1 species
GAUGAACGCUGGCGGCGUGCCUAAUACAUGCAAGUCGAGCGAACAGACGAGGAGCUUGCUCCUCUGACGUUGGCGGCGGACGGGUGAGUAACACGUGGAUAACCUACCUAUAAAACUGGGAUAACUUCGGGAAACCGGAGCUAAUACCGGAUAAGAUAUUGAACCGCAUGGUUCAAUAGUGAAAGACGGGUUUGGUGUCACUGAUAGAUGGAUCCGCGCCGCAUUAGCUAGUUGGUAAGGUAACGGCUUACCAAGGCAACGAGGCGUAGCCGAACUGAGAGGGUGAUCGGCCACACUGGAACUGAGACACGGUCCAGACUCCUACGGGAGGCAGCAGUAGGGAAUCUUCCGCAAUGGGCGAAAGCCUGACGGAGCAACGCCGCGUGAGUGAUGAAGGUCUUCGGAUCGUAAAACUCUGUUAUUAGGGAAGAACAAAUGUGUAAGUAACUAUGCACGUCUUGACGGUACCUAAUCAGAAAGCCACGGCUAACUACGUG